rnacentral:rRNA from 1 species
AACGAACGCUGGCGGCAGGCCUAACACAUGCAAGUCGAGCGAAGCCUUCGGGCUUAGCGGCGGACGGGUGAGUAACGCGUGGGAACGUGCCCUUUGGUACGGAAUAGCCCCGGGAAACUGGGAGUAAUACCGUAUGUGGUCGAGAGACGAAAGAUUUAUCACCAAAGGAUCGGCCGGCGUUGGAUUAGGUAGUUGGUGGGGUAAUGGCCUACCAAGCGGACGAUCCAUAGCUGGUUUGAGAGGAUGAUCAGCCACACUGGGACUGAGACACGGCCCAGACUGCGCCGGGAGGCAGCAGUGGGGAAUUGUAGCCAGUGGGGGAAACCCUGAUCUAGCCAUACCGCGUGAUCGAUGAAGGCCUUAGGGUUGUAAAGAUCUUUCAGUGGGGAAGAUAAUGACUGUACCCACAGAAGAAGCCCCGGCUAACUCCGUGCCAGCAGCCGCAGUAAAAC